GUGCUAUUACGCUAACGGUAAGGCGGACUGCCUGUGGAGCAGUUGGUAUCAGUUCGAUUCUGAUAUAGCACC
rnacentral:tRNA from 1 species